rnacentral:rRNA from 1 species
AAGUACAACUCUAUGCGGUGGAUCACUCGGCUCGUGUGUCGAUGAAGAGCGCAGCCAACUGUGUGAAUUAAUGUGAAUCGCAGACUGCUUUGAACAUCGACCUCUUGAACGCACAUUGCGGCC